GGCCCCGUAGCUCAAUUGGCAGAGCAGGUGACUCUUAAUCACUCGGUUGUAGGUUCGAGUCCUACCGGGGUCA
rnacentral:tRNA from 1 species